rnacentral:lncRNA from 1 species
AUAAUUGAAUAACCUUCAACUUUCAUAUUGACUCAAAUUCUAUAUAUUAAAACAACACGACGUACUUUUUAAAAGCACGGCCAUGCUGUUCCUAGUUACCUCCAUUAAUUUCCUUCAAAAUCGCCAUAUAAAUAAAUAAAAAAUAAAAAAAUCUCUAUAUUACUCCCCAAUUAAUAUUAAUCCUUAAAUCCUUUAAUAAAAAAACCCCCUCAAUAUUGCUCCCAACUCUUAA